GUCCACGCCCUAAACGAUGUCUACUAGUUGUCGGGUCUUAAUUGACUUGGUAACGCAGCUAACGCGUGAAGUAGACCGCCUGGGGAGUACGGUCGCAAGAUUAAACUCAAAGGAAUUGACGGGACCCGCACAAGCGGUGGAUGAUGUGGAUUAAUUCGAUGCAACGCGAAAACCUUACCUACCCUUGACAUGGCUGGAAUCCCUGAGAGAUCGGGGAGUGCUCGAAAGAGAACCAGUACACAGGUGCUGCAUGGCUGUCGU
rnacentral:rRNA from 1 species